UACGAAGGGGGCUAGCGUUGCUCGGAAUUACUGGGCGUAAAGGGCGCGUAGGCGGAUAUCUAAGUUGGGGGUGAAAUCCCGGAGCUCAACUUCGGAACUGCCUCUGAUACAGCACGUCUUGAGUCCGGAAGAGGUGGGUGGAAUUCCUAGUGUAGAGGUGAAAUUCGUAGAUAUUAGGAAGAACACCGGUGGCGAAGGCGGCCCACUGGUCCGGUACUGACGCUGAGGUGCGAAAGCGUGGGGAGCAAACAGG
rnacentral:rRNA from 1 species